CCUACGGGUGGCUGCAGUGGGGAAUAUUGCGCAAUGGGCGAAAGCCUGACGCAGCGACGCCGCGUGAGGGAUGAAGGUCUUCGGAUCGUAAACCUCUGUCAGCAGGGAAGAACGGUCACUGUGCUAAUCAGCAGUGAAUUGCCGGUACCUGCAAAGGAAGCACCGGCUAACUCCGUGCCAGCAGCCGCGGUACUACGGAGGGUGCGAGCGUUAAUCGGAAUUACUGGGCGUAAAGCGCUCGUAGGCGGUAUGUCAAGUCAAGGGUGAAAUCCCCGCGCUCAACGUGGGAACUGCCUUUGAAACUGGCAAACUGGAGUGUGUGAGAGGAUAGUGGAAUUCCAGGUGUAGGAGUGAAAUCCGUAGAUAUCUGGAGGAACAUCAGUGGCGAAGGCGAGAACUUAGGCUAUCACUGACGCUUAGGCUCGAAAGUGUGGGGAGCAAAUAGGAUUAGAUACCCUAGUAGUC
rnacentral:rRNA from 1 species